AUCUUUGCGCUUGGGGCAAUGACGCAGUUAUUGAGGUGAAACCGAGACGCGUCAAUUGCUGGUUGAAAACUAUUUCCAUAUAUAUGUAUUUCUUCGAGACCGGAGUUAAGCUUCUUUUAACAAAAUCAGCGUACUGA
rnacentral:snRNA from 1 species